UACGUAGGUGGCGAGCGUUGUCCGGAAUUACUGGGUGUAAAGGGAGUGUAGGCGGGAAGGCAAGUCAGAAGUGAAAACUAUGGGCUUAACCCAUAGCCUGCUUUUGAAACUGUUUUUCUUGAGUGAAGUAGAGGCAAGCGGAAUUCCUAGUGUAGCGGUGAAAUGCGUAGAGAUCGGUAGGAACACCAGUGGCGAAGGCGGCUUGCUGGGCUCUAACUGACGCUGAGGCUCGAAAGUGUGGGGAGCAA
rnacentral:rRNA from 1 species